UCUCCGUUGGUGAGCCAGCGGAGGGAUCAUUACAGGACUCGCAAGCCUCCUUCACCCUGUGAACCUCACUACCAGCACGUUGCUUCGGCGGGUGUCCCGGCGGGGGUUUUCCCUCGCCGGGGCGCACAGCCCGCCGGCAGCCUACUAUACUCUGUCUCUUUGCGUUGGCAUCUCGAGAAAAAACAAACAAGUAAAAACUUUCAACAACGGAUCUCUUGGUUCUG
rnacentral:misc_RNA from 1 species